GGCUGCUCGGCGCGGGCGCGGGACAGAGGGGGACUCCAGCCCGCGCGCCGGGCCGCCCAGCCCCAGACUCGGGCUCCGCCGCCGGCCCGCCGCCCGCCCCUCCACAGCGCGGCGCGCAAGGCUCUUGUUUCGGCGGCGACGAGACUCGGGAUCCCUGAGGCGGCGGUGCCGCGGCGGCUGGUGGCUCUCCGGCACAGGGUGAGACCGAGGAGCGGGCGGCCGCGCCGGCACCGCCUCGGUCCCCACCCCCGAGUCCUUUUCCCGCUGAGCCGGACGGGAAGGGGCCGGCACGACCCGGGGCUCCCCCCACGCCUCGGGGCCGGGCUCCCGGGGGGCUGCGGCGGCGGCCGGGGGCGGCCGCGGGUCCCUCAGGUAAACGGAGCCAGCGAGGCCCCCCAGCGCGCGCCUCGGAGCGCCCGCGCGCUCUCGCGACGGCCGGGCGCGCGCGCACCACGGACGGCGCAGGCGCGCCGCGCACGCUCGGCCGAGCGCUCCGAGUCUGAGCCCAGCUUGAGGCGUGAGGUGUGAGGUAUAGUUUUUCUUACAGAAGAAUAUCCAGUUAUUUCAUGAUGGCCUUUGCACCUCCAAAAACACAAAUGGUCCCAAAAUGCAGACAAAAAUGAGUACCUGGACACCCCUAAACCAUCAGCUUUUGAAUGACUGGGCAUUUGAAGAAAGAAGAGCUCUGCUUGGAAAAUGGGUAGCUGUUUAAAGUAUACCUGAUUCUAGCCAGAAAGAGAAAGGCAAACACCAAAUGGAUAUCUCCUGUAUGUGGGAUCUAAACUGUGGCACCAGUGAGCCUACCCUCAAAACAGAAACAGACUCACAGACCUAGAGAUCAGACCUGUGGUUGCCAAGCGGGAGGAGAGGAGGGAGCAGGACGGACCGGGAGCUUGGGGUUGGUAGAUGCAAGCUAUUACAUUUAGAAUGGCUAAGCGACAAGCUCCUACUAUAUAGCAC
ensembl:lncRNA